GGGGUGGGCAGACAGAGAAGGGCGGGCAGGAGCCAAGCGGCGAGCUCCAGUGACCGGCGUGCCCGUGGCUUCGGUGUUCCCGCCUCGAGGACCCGGGAGUUCGGUCCCGGAGCCCCUCGGGGGCAGGCGUGGAGGGGAGCCUGGCCGGCGGGCGGGGCCAGGGCCGCCCUCAGUAGACUCAGAUGACCUGUAUCUUCAAAAGAUGGGGCGUCUUCCCUAAGGACGGGGGAGAGCCAGGUCCUCACAAUGUACGCGGCCCUGUGGAACCUGCUUCCCACCUCACGCCGUACCUCGCUCCCCUCAUCUUCUGCUUCUCUUCCUCAAGCUCAGUCCCCUCAGCCACACUAGCCUCCUUGCUUUCUCUGGAACAUGCCAGCAUUUAUCGAGGACCUAUCAUGCCAGACGGCUGGGGAUGCAGUGUCACUAAGAGAGACGUGGUCCCAUCCUUGUGAAACUUACAAUCUAGCAGGGAAGACACACAAUGAAGAUGUAAUGAGAAGCUCACUGAGUGCUACACAUGCCGACUCCCAGUAAAUAAUAAUAAUUAAUAUAAACACCUAUAGAAUGAAUAAGUGAAUGGUUGAGUAACUGUGUGAAUAAUAACCCCUUCUCCACAAUUUUUCCCCCUCUCUGCUUUAUAUUACAUUUAGCCUAAAAUAUAACGUUUUUUAUGGUCCC
rnacentral:lncRNA from 1 species